GACGAACGCUGGCGGCGUGCUUAACACAUGCAAGUCGAACGCAGUGGCGAACGGGUGAGUAACACGUGAGUAACCUGCCCCCUUCUUUGGGAUAACGCCCGGACACGGGUGCUAAUACUGGACAGCGGGGGAUGGGCUCGCGGGCUAUUAGCUUGUUGGUGGGGUGAUGGCCUACCAAGGCCUUGACGGGUAGCCGGCCUGAAAGGGUGACCGGUCACAUUGGGACUGGGAUACGGCCCGGACUCCUGCGGGAGGGGGCAGUGGUGAAUAUUGCACAAUGGGCGAAAGCCUGAUGCAGCGGCGCCGCGUGAGGGAUGACGGCCUUCGGGUUGUAAACCUCUUUCGCUCAUGGUCGGGUAGUGGGUAAAGAAGCGCCGGCUAACUACGUGCCAGCAGCCGCGGUAAUAC
rnacentral:rRNA from 1 species